CCUACGGGUGGCAGCAGUGAGGAAUAUUGGUCAAUGGGCGCAAGCCUGAACCAGCCAAGUAGCGUGAGGGAUGAAGGCUCUAUGGAUUGUAAACUUCUUUUAUAAGGGAAUAAAGUGAGGGACGUGUCCCGUUUUGUAUGUACUUUAUGAAUAAGGAUCGGCUAACUCCGUGCCAGCAGCCGCGGUAAUACGGAGGAUCCGAGCGUUAUCCGGAUUUAUUGGGUUUAAAGGGUGCGUAGGUGGCCUUUUAAGUCAGCGGUGAAAGUCUGUGGCUCAACCGUAGAAUUGCCAUUGAUACUGGCAGUCUUGAGUAUAUUUGAGGCAGGCGGAAUUCGUGGUGUAGCGGUGAAAUGCUUAGAUAUCACGCAGAACCCCGAUUGCGAAGGCAGCCUACCAAGCCAUGACUGACACUGAUGCACGAAAGCGUGGGUAUCAAACAGGAUUAGAUACCCGUGUAGUC
rnacentral:rRNA from 1 species